UUGGCUAAAAAAAAGAAAAGAACAUGGAGGCAGAUAUAAUCACAAAUCUUCGAUGCAGGCUCAAAGAGGCUGAAGAAGAGCGACUAAAAGCUGCACAGUAUGGUUUACAACUAGUAGAGAGUCAAAAUGAAUUACAGAAUCAAUUGGAUAAAUGUCGUAAUGAAAUGAUGACCAUGACUGAGGUAGGACUCUGGACUCCUCUGUCUGCAAGUGUGUGCUUAGCUAUUGAAGAUUUGUCCUGUUUAGCAAUUAAUAGUAGUAGUAGUUUAUUCUUUUCUGAAGAUUUUAGAUCUAGUUUCCGCCCUGCCCCGUCCCUGUUAAAAAAGAAUGAACUAAAUGAAUUCCUGUUAUUCUUUCCACCCUAGUGUAUUCAGAGUUUGAAAGAUCAAGUUAUCAUUACUCUCUUUGCCACAUUUACUACCAGAUUUUGCUUUGUCUGCACACUUCCUA
rnacentral:sRNA from 1 species